GCUACAGUACUUAAAAUUAAUCUAUCAACCUGGAGACCAAUGAAGAAAAGAAUUCUUUGAAAAGAUAGAGUUUAAAGAAGAGAAGACUAAAAGGGAAAAAUGGGGUCAUGUGUCGGAGGACAGAUUUGGGAUUCCCGAAACUGCCAAAAAUGGUGUAUUUCCAAAAAUUUUUUUAAGUGUCUGUCACAUCUGCCAAUCACCUGAUUAAAGUUAUUUUACAUUUCUUUAAAACCUCUGAAGUUCAGAGUAAAUAACUGUUACAAUGGUUAAAUCCGAUAUUUACAGGGAGAAUAUGUCUGCUGAUAAUCGGACAUUUCAGUGAAGGUUGCACUUAGUGCUGCCUUUGCCAUUUGAACGUGAUCAAAUCUAUCACAUUGGAAAACCGUGUAAUCUUGUUUGGAAAUCUUCCCCAGGCUUUUGCAUCCUAUGUGAGUCCUGCCAGGGAAGUUUAAUACGAAUCUCAAACUUAAUUUAAGUAAUUUAUUAAAAAAGAAACUUCUGGCCCAGUACUUUGAACCUUUUAACUAUUAAUAACCAAGAAAGAUGUAUUUUCAAGUUGGUAAAGUUUCCACCUAUUCUGCCUGCAACUGUGAUCUCAGUAUAUAUAGGGUGUCUGUGAAGUGUGGAAACAAAGAAUAAGUAUGGCUUCAUCUUUUUUUUUUCAUCAAGGACACCUUUAAUCUGUAAAAAUUAGAAUAGAAUAAACUAGCAUAGAGCAUGACAGAAUAAAAUAAAACAAAGAAGUAAAGUAAAAUAAAAUAACACCGUGUUUCCAGACUUUGUGGAAAUCCUCUGUUAAGAGCUUGUGGGAUAUGUCGAUCCAACUGAACAACUAGAUGAAAUGGGAGACUUCCCCAGCAGGAAAUGGCGCUUUCUGAUGCUGCUAAUUAAGGAAUGUGGAAGCCUUCCUUCUGAGUCAGUUUGGCGGUAUGUUGAACUCUGCACUGCUUACAUGAUUGUUGUAUGAAACUUUAGAAAUGAAACCAGAGUGUCUUGUCACUUAAUAUUUAAGAAGCAAGAGGUGGUGUGUAUGCGUACGUGUGUGUUUAAAAGGUUUCUAAUCUUUAACAUGGUUAGUUGCAGCUGGCCUUUUUAUCAGCUGAUCAAAUUUACUGCCUAGUCUCAGAUGUCAGGGUGCCAUCCCAAAGAGAAGAUUUGGACCAUUUACAAGUUAACAUUUUAAGGUACACGGGCUUAUCAUAGGAUCCUGAGGAUUCACUGGAAUUAUGUAGCAAUAAAAACAUCUCUAUGGGACUGUGAAUUCUUAUUUGGUAAAAUAUGUGUUUAUUUGUUGGAUUUCAGAGGUAAUAGAAGCAUAGUAUAGAAAAAAAAUAGAGAAAAACAGGAAGUGGAAAAUAACCAUGCAUAUAGCUAGACAAUCAUUUCAAAAUUUUAUUAUAAAAAUUUUCAAACUUACACAGAAGUAGAGAAUAGUAAAAUGAACUCCCAUAUAUCCAACAUCUAAUUCUUUUUUUUUAAAUUUAUUUUAUUUGCUUUCUUGUUGAGAAUACACACAGCAAAAAAAAAAAAACACCAAAUCAACAGUGCCUCCAUGUACAAUUCAGUCACUUGAUGGCAUUCUUCAAGCUGUGCAAUCCUUCUCACCCUCCUUUUCUGAGCUCUUCUCCCCCAUCAACAUACACUCAUUGCCCCCUGAGGUUCCUUUCUAAUCUUUUGAGCUGCUUUUGUAACUUUGAUGCCAUAUAGCCAACACCCAAUUCUAUCAUUCCAGGACGUCAACCACAUUUGCUUCAAUUUUUCCUUGUUAAAAUAUUAUAAAUUCCAAGGUAUCAUAAUAUUCCAAAGUAUUAUAAAUUUCAAGAUAGCUCCUCCUAGAUGCUUCAGUACAUAUCGCUAAGUAUGUAUAUAUGUUCUCUUUAAUAACCCAUUAUUGCAGUGAAUGAAAUUCACAGUAAGUCUUGGAUAUCACAGAAUGCCCAGUCCAUAAAAAAAAUUUCCCUGAUGAGAAAAACCAAAGGUAACGCUUUUAUUUCACCGGUUUCAUUUUUUUUUUGCUUACUAAUAUACAGAUUUAUAUAGUUCAUUAAAAAGUAGAAUUUGACAUCUUGAUUCCAUUUGCUCUUGUAACUGUUUCCCAAUGGUAUAUUUUUUUUCAAAACUUCGUCAUUUUAAAAUGGCUGUGUGGGGAUAACUUGGAUGACUAAGCAUUCAUCAUUUAUUUGUGUGGCUCCAAAAAUACACUGAGAAAGAGAGAGACAGAGAGAGAGAGAAAGAAAGAGAGAAUAUUUUUUUCCCCCAUAGUAAGUCUUGUUGCCGUGAAUAUCUUUGCUCAUAAUGCCUUUUCCUUGAUUAGGGCUGUUUCCCUGGGAUGGAUUCCAGGAGGGCUAGUGCACCAAAAUGUAUGAACAUUUGUAAGGCUCUUGACUGUUCUUACGGAGUUGUUUACAAAAGAACUGUACCAAUUUACACUUCCACUUACAAAGGAUGAGUGAGGCUCUAUUAAAAUGUUUAAAGCCAGUGCUUUUCAGAGCUUUUAUAAAUCAUCGGCUGUAAGAGGCUGACUUUAUGUUUGUCAUAUGGUCAGAGUCAUCUCAAAAUAAAUAAAUACACAUUUUCUAUAGCUAUAAAAACAUAGCACGCACAGACUGCCAAACAACCACAAACUAACUUUGAUUAAACGAGGAAACCGGUCGACUUGUUGAAAAUGUGGUAAUGAGAUAGUUUCCACCCAGCCGGGCAACCCAGUCCCAGCGGGGGAGGGGAGCCUGCAUUUCUUCAUGCCUUUCUGCCCAUCCUGAAGAAGGUAGAAAUGAACAGGGCCCUCCCAGGCCUCGCUUGACCUCCAUCUUGGAGACGAUGCCCAAGGAACUUUGAGGAUCGCCCAGGAAAGUGUAUCUUGGCAAUCUAUCCAUAUGUACAGGAGGUGUGACUUCAUUCUUUCAACUGCUGUGUAUAUUCUAAAAUUUGGAUACAUGGAGUUUCUGUGGCCAUUUUCCUUUUGAUGAGCGUGUAGGUGUUUUUCACCAUUAUCAACAAUGCUGCAGUGAAAAUCCUUGUGUUUGCUUCUCUGUGUACAUGAGUGAUUAUUUCUCUAGAGUAGAUAUUGUAAUUGUAUGCUUGUCUAUUUAUUUAUGUUUUAAUUUGUUUGAUGUCUAUUUCUCCUACUAAAAUAUACCCUCCAUGAGGGCAGAAAUUCUAUUUGUUUUGUUUCUCUUUAAUUACUACCUAGUCAGGUACCUAGAACAAAGGUCAAUAAAUAUUUAUUGAAUGAAUUCAGGCUGAAACGGUUGGUUGGGGCUGUGGUGUGACUUUGAAUCCUAAGAGAGGGAACUACGGCUUAUCUUGGUAAAAUUUUCACACUGGGCAGUAGCAGGAUAGUUAUUACCGGGGGUUUUGGGAAAAAUGUUCUGGGCCAGGAAGAAGGCAGCUCUAGGAGGACCAGUCAGGAGAUGAUUACACAGGUCAGAAGGAAAAAGAAACAAGGACAAGGGGAAUAGAAAGGAAAGGGUGGGUUUGAGAGAUACUGAGAUGAUAGGACCUGUAAGAUUUAUCAGCUGAUUAGCUAUGAGGGACAGGGUAAAGGAAGUCAUGGAAGGUCAAUACCUAGUGCUGAACACUUUAAUUUUACAAAACUUUAUUGCCUCCCAGCUCUGUGUAAAAAGCCCUCUGCUAAUUGCUGUUGGGACAUAAAUUUGCAUGACUUUUCUUCCCUACUUUCAAAGGAGAUUUGCAGUUUAUGGAAGAACAUUGGAAGCCCUUGUGGCGGAAUGGUUAAGAGCUUGGCUGCUCACCAAAAGGUCAGCAGUUUGAAUCCAACAGCCACUCCUUGGAAACCUUAGGGGGCAGUUCUGCUCUGUCCUGUAGGAUUACUAUGAGUCAGAUCGGCUUGAUGGCAACGGGUUUGGUUUUGAUUGUUUUGGAGAAGACCCACAUGUACACAGGUCUACCAAGAACAAAAGGGAGUGCCUGAGAGGUGGGAGGAGAGGAGUCCCAGGGCAAUCAAAUGAAAUACUGCUAUUCCAGAGUAGCAGAGGGGAGCAGGGUGGGUGAGGACCUUUCAACUUUGCCCCAGAGCCACACACAUGGCUGACUCUGGCGAACAUUCAGGAAGUAGGGUGUCAACAAGUAUGGAUCAUCUUUUAAGAUCCAUCUAUAUGGGAUCCAAUUGACAACAGCAACUCAAAAGACUAGAUAGGAACCUCAGGGGGCUGUGAGUUUGUGUUAAUGGAGGAGGAACAAUUCAGAAAAUGAGGGUGAGAGAGAAUGGGUGCCCAACUCUAAUCAGUGUCACUGAAGUGUAUGUGUGGAAAUUGUUGAAUUGGUGUAUGCUCUGCAGUGUCUAUGCUCAACAACAACAAAAAGUAAAAUUUAUAUAUAUGUUAAAAAAAAAAAAAGAAAGAUCAGUGUAGCUUUUUUAGAAGUAAGGACAUGCAGAUUUGUGACAUGCUGGAGUCUGGCUCAUUGGCUUCAGUAUAGUCUGGAAGGCAGGGACACAAACUGUUAGCUGUGUGACCUUAGGCAGGUUCCUUAACCAUCCUGAGCUUCAUCCUCCCCCUUUAAAAAAAGACAAGGCAAUAGUAACUAAAGUGAUGAAGAUUAAUUAGAUCACAGCUAGUUCAGUAGCAGCUCUGAUCCUAUGAUCAUAAACUCAACAAAAGGAGUGGAAAAUGUCUGCUUGAAAUAAAAGGACUCCAAUUCCCUAGAGCUGGUCCUGUUCUCUUUGUUUAACCAAGACAGGAUAAUAUCUCCUUUGAGGAAGAAACAUUUAUUUGAAGUUCAAGAAUUCUUUCAGUUUUACUCUAUUUCCUUUCGGUGCUUUCCCAGUGUUCUUGGGAUAAAAUCCAAAGUCCUCGUGGGUAUAGCAAAGCAUGCCUGACAUGUUAUCAGGAAUUUUGUCUUUAUUCUAAGAGCCAUUGGCUGUAUUAGGCAGGGCUGGGACACAAUCAGAAUCCCUGGGUGAUGCAAAGGGUAAUGCACUGGACUGCUAAUUGCGAGGUUGCCGGUGCCUCAUAAGAAAGGCCUGGUGAUCUACUUCCAAAAAUCCAGCCAUGGAAAACCCUGUGGAGCAUAGCUCUACCCGAAGACAUAUGGGGUUGCCAUGAGUCACAACUGACUUGAUACAAUUGUUUAUUUUAUUUUUUUAAACUGGUGACCUGAUCAGAUUUGACUUUUUGACUUUUGAAAAGAUCAGUUUGGCUGCUGGGAGGGGUGAUUGUUUGCUUUUCCGCUGGAAGGGAAGUUCUGCGAACACAGGCGCUGUGUUCAUUUUCUUUACAGCUAUAUCCCUAAACCAAAACCCAUUGCUAUGGAGUCAGCUCUAACUCAUAGUGACCCUAUAGGACAGAGUAGAACUGCCCCAUGGUGUUUCCAAGGAGUGGCUGGUAGAUUUGAACUGCCCGCCUUUUGGUUAGCAGCUGAACUCUUAACCACCGCGCCAUGAGGGCUCUGCUGGUGGGAAAUGCCGGGCGCAUAGUAGGUGUGGAUUCUAUUGGUUUGAUCUUUCUGCCUUUAAAGUGAGACUAAAAAUACCUAUGUCUUAGUUACCUACUGCUGCUAUAACAGAAACACCACAAAUGGAUGGCUUUAACAAACAGAACUCUUCCUCUCAGAGUCUAGGAGGGUAGAAGUCCAUAUUCAGGGUGCCAGCUCCAGGGAAAGGCUUUCUUUAUCAGUUCUUGGGGAAGUUCCUUGUCAUCAAUCAUCCCCUGGUCUAGGAGCUUCACAGUGCAGGGACCCUGGGUCCAAAGGAUGCACUCUGCUCCCGGCACUUAUUUCUUGGUGACAUGAGGUCCCUCUCCUCUCUGCUGUAUUCUCUCUUUUAUAUCUCAAGAGAUUGACUCGAGAUACAACCUAAUCCUGUAGAUUGAGCCCUGCCUCAUUAACAUAACUGCCUCUAAUCCUGCCUUUUUACCAUCGUAAAGGUUAGGAUUUACAACACAGGAAAAUCAUGUCAGAUGACAAAAUGAUAGACAAACACACAAUACUGGGAAUCAUGGCCUAGCCAAACGGAUACACAUUUUAGGGGAACACAAUUCAACCCAUAACAUCAGCUAGACUUUCGGCAUCUUCUCUCUUCUUUGGGCAUAGGACUUUUGGGGUAUAUCAGUGCUCUAGUCCACCCAUCCCUUCCCAAAGCCCAUCCCUUCCCAAAGCAGAGACAUGCAGGAGACGCGGAUGGGUUGAAUUUGGACAAGUCGAGCUCUUGACAGUGUGAUUCAGAUUCCAGAAAAAGAAAAAGAAAAAAUUUGUUUUUCUAACCAGUGAACUAUACAAACACCUCACCAUACAAUUCAUCUCAUAUAAAAGAGACUGAAGAAAAAGAAACAUGAGACCAAAGACCCUGCGGUGGCUGCUCUUCCUUGUAAACUACAGAACCUCUCUGUAUUUCAGGUUACCCAUUAGGGAAACCGAGGCUAAACCAAAACCAAACCAAAUCCGUUGCUUCUGAAUUGAUUCUGACUCACAGCAACCCUAUAGGACAGAGUAGAACUACCCCAUAGGGUUUCCACGGAGCAGCUGGUGGAUUUGAAUAUAUACAUAUAUAUUCAAAGAUGGAACCUGCACCAAAGCAGAGCUGUAGGCAGAGGCGAUGCUCAGUAUUCACAAGAAGAAUCAUUAGAACAACAACCCCUUAAGUGUGGUCUUUUUACGAGAAUUUGAGGUCUGCAUCCCACUGCUCUCCUGCUCCAUGGAAACUCAUUUAUUGAUCACUGUUAUAUACGGACAGCAUGCUAAGAUGCAGCAGAGAACAAGACACAGUGCCAUCUAGCUUUACGGAGUUUAGCUUCUAGUAGGAGGAAGGCAGAGCCAGGAAUGGAUACUUGCUGAAACGUAAUGCGUGUUACUGCAUGUUUUUGAGCUCUGGGGGCACCUGGCAAGGACAUGUGAUCUACGUCAAUGGCUAGCUCAUCUCCCUAUCUGCCCUUUUCCUCCGUCCACAUUCACUUCCUGGAGAGUAUUACCCAUUUCCAUCAUACUAAAUAGCCAUCAGGGGUGGAGGAUGGUGGGAGGAGAAGUCCUAAGAGGGCAAUUCAGAAUUCAUUCCUGAACAUCUAAAUGGAAAUGAAGUAGGCAGUUAGGAGCAUGUUUCGGGAGUGGAGGGCUGAAGUCUGGAUGGGAAACAUAAAUGCAGGAGACUUCAACACUUAGGUGGUAUUUUGAGCCAUUGGAUUGGAUGAAUCACCUAGAGAAGGAGAAAGGGAAGACAAGGAAGCUCAGCUUUGGGCCCCCAGGCACCUCAAAGUUUAGAGGUCAGGGAGAGGAAGAGGAACUAGCAACGAGAACCGAGAAGGGGCAGUCAGUGAGGAUGAAGCGAAAUCAGGAGGACAAGGUGCCCCAAAUCCAAGAGAAGAAAGUCUUUCGAGGUAGAGGGAGGGAUCAACUGUAUCAAGUGCUGCAGAUGUGGCAAAUGAAACGAGGAUGAAGGACAGACCAUCAGGUAGCCUCCACAACCCGAGUCACAUCCCCAUUCCUCCUCGCGGUCUCAUUCUCUGGCCCCCAGCCUCGCUCAUGGUCCCAGACACACUGGCCUCCCUAAAGUUCUUUCCUCAAGCCUCAGGGCCUUCUCACCUUCUGUUCCUGCUGUAUGGACCUCUACUCCCCAUCUUAGUGUGGCUUGCUACCUUACUCAUUGAGGUCUUUGCUCCUCCCUCUAUCCCCCCACCUACCAAAAAACAAAAACAAAACAAACUCAUUGCCAAGAGUCGAUUCUGACUCAGCGAUCUUAUAGGACAGAGUGGGUUUCCAAGGCUGUAAUCUUUAUGGAAGCAGACUGCCACAUCUUUCUCCUGCGGAGCAGCUGGUGGAGUUGAACUGCUGACCUCUUGGUGGCUAACCACCGUGCUACCAGGGCUCCUGUGCUCCUCAGGGAGCCCCAAUUUAAAACAGCAGGCUUUCCCCUGCCCAGUUACCCUGUCCCUUUUUUACAGCAAUUAUAACUUUCUGUGUAUUGUCUGACUCCCUCUAGAAGGUAAGCGCCAGAGGGGCAAGGGCUUCAUCUCCCAUGCCUAGGAUAGUGCCAUCAAACCAAA